GACAGGAAACCAUCUGUGUUGAACAAUAUACACAGUGCCGACACAAAACAGAAAGGGAAAGAACAGUCCCUAGGAACAAAUAAUUGUCUGGAAUGACCCUGGAGGUUGGUAUUUGGAGUCUCGGGGGAGGGGGGGACGUAUGCCAAGAGUUGAAGAUUUGAGAAAAUUCUUUUCCAGAACGGCUUCAGGGACAAAGACUCUCUCUUGAGGACUGAAAUGGCGAGAAAGAAAUAUUUAAUAAAUAGCUACCAGCACUGGAUUAAGAAGUUGGCUCUAAUCUGUUCUCUUCCAUUAACUCACUCUGUUUCCUGCGGUAAGCCACUUGACUUCUCGGUAUUUUGUUCUUUUUUCUGCAUGAACUAGUUAUAUGUUUCCUUGCAUAAGUCACUUCACAUUGGUUUGUCUAUAUAAUAAACUUCAUUAUUUCUGGGAAUUGUCGUCCUUCUUUUCCAUGAAUUGCCCCAGCACCAUUCCAAACAAUGAGCCUGUCCCCUCCCACCUCUGCCAAAAUUCAUUGCUCCAAUCAUUUUUUUUUACAUUAUUCAUUUACUUUCUUUUUAAUUGUGGUAAAAUUUAUAUAGCAAAUUUACCAUUUUAAGCAUUUUUAAGAGUAUGAGUCAGUGGCAUUAAUUACACUCACAAUGCAACCAUCACCACUAUCUAUUCCCAAAAGUUUUUUGUCACCUCAGACAAAAACUCUGUAACCUUAACCAACGAUGCCCAUGCUUCCCUGUGCUUGGUCUCUGGUCAUCUCUACUCCACUUUCUAGCUCUGGGAACAUCCGUCUUCUAGAUAUUUUGCGGAAAGCAAUUGCCUUUUACAAGCUGGAGUGAAUAGUUCAGCUGGAAAGGGGAGUCCGAAGAUGUGAGGCCCAAAGUGAACUUCGCUACUGUGCUUAGUUGUUCACAUAUGGUUUGCGGACCCUGGAAAGUCCAGCCUGAAUUCCUGAGGGAUGCUGGAAGGAGUGAAGUGAGAGACUGACACGUGUUCCCAUCCCAUCCCUGUAGCCUGGAGACAUUUCCAGCUGAAAGAAAAGUAUAAAAGACACAGUAACUGUGAAAUGCUGAGGGCGUUUCCAGAGUAGGCACUCACGGUGAAAUGAAUGCUUAUAUGUUAAAUAACAUAUGCCAGGCAGUAUUCUAUUUUAUCCUCACAACACUUCUAUGAGGUAAGCGAAUUAUCAACAUUUUCAAAUGUGUAAACUGAGGCACAGAAAGAUUAAGUAAUUAGUGAAAUGUCAGAGAGCUUAUAAAUUCUGGAGCCAAAAUUUGAACCCAAGAAAUCUGGUGCCAGAGUCCAAGACCUUAUCUAUUUUGCUAUACUGUCUGUUGAGUGCCAGAUCAAUUGAUGCAUGGAUGGACUGAUGAAUAAGAACAAAACUGGAGGCAUAGAACCCUGGAGGUGGAGCACGGAGGAA